rnacentral:lncRNA from 1 species
AACCACAGAUAUCAUGAGUCUAAAGUGAAGUUGUACUCUAUAUAUUUAACCAAUCAAACAAAGUUUACAACACUCAUCAUUCUAUGGUGUUAGAAUAUGCCAUUUGAGCAGAGAUGUUAUCUAGUGAGGUCAGAAUGUGAACUUACUAAUAGAGAUUCUGUUCCUGUGUGAGCUAGAACCAUAGCAAGUAACAAUAUCGAUUCCAAAUCCCAUGGAGGAAGUAUAGCAAUUGGCAUUGAUUAUUUGGAAUUUGGUUAUUGUGGUAUCGCUAACUCUAGUUUCUCAUGUAGGGCUUAAUUUAUUCUACACAGUACUUAUCAAAAAAAAAANNNNNNNNNNNNNNNNNNNNAUAUAUAUAUAUAUAUAUAUAUAUAUAUAUAUAUAUAUUCUACAUAGUGAGGACACAAAUCCAAGCUGAGAAACAUCAAACAUAUACAGGUAAGUAGCCUUGCCUUGCACGUUGCAAAACAACAAAAGAAAUGUGAAAGGGCGUCGAAGGUUGUAUUCGAGUCUAGCUAGUAACUAUUGCGAUGAAAAUCUGACACGGUACUAGACAAGGUACCAUUAGAAAGAGGUCGACAAUGUAUAUCAAACUAACAGGUGAUGCAGUUGAGCACUUCCCAACCAACUCACGAUGUAAGCUCUAGGCUUCUGAGACAUUCCCUUGUGUUGGGGUUGCAUCAAUGAUUCCCUUCUCACUUAUUUCGAAUAUCUACUUUGUGAGGAUAAGUAAUGGUUGUUUCAAUAACACUACUCUUAUAAUUAAUGCACACUAUUUCGGGAAUUUGUAUUGCAAGAUAACAAAAGAACAGAACAAUAGCACAAACUCGUAUAUUAAUGUUACAUCCUGG